AUACAGUGCUUCUGUCUCCUCCCACCGGUCCAGUUAGCUUCCCUCUGGACCAGCAGGCGAGGGGGAGACGUGAGGGUUUGGGACCUUUGGCUGGGAAGCCGCUGACCAGGGGCCACCGCAGGCUUGAUUGGUGGGGGGUGCUGAGCAUGGAAGCCCAGGCAGCUUUCGCUGGGGCAGACUCUCAGGCCGAUGCUGAAGAAGGCUGCUUGUCAGCCAGCGUGUCCCAGGGAGAGGGGAGCAGGUGUGGGGUUCCUGCCAUCUGUGAUAAGCUCCUCGGCUUGCUUGGCAGGAGCCGGUCUUUGCAUGUAGCCCCUUUCCAAUGUGCUGUGUACCAUUCUGGUUUCUCCUGUCCCUGGUGCUGGCUGGGAGUGGGUGGGGGCUGUGGCCUCGGCGCUGGGGAAGGAUGGAGGGCCAGUGGUCCAGGCCCCUUUGAGCGGGGGGAAGGACGUGACCAGGACAUUUAAACUGAGUUGGAGGGGAGCAGCUGCUUUUCUGUCUUUGUUUCUCUGCUCCUUGGGGGCUGGGGCAGGGGUAGUCUGGCCUCCCCCCGGGCUUGCUCUUUGACCUAAAGUUUGUUUCUGAUGGGGUCAGCUUUCCCUUCCUCCCUCAAUACUUGGGAACCUUCCUUCCAACUCCACACUUACUGUUUCAAGCACUGCUGGGGCCUUGAGCUUGUUGGAUUGCAUUUCUGCCGAGAGGAGCCUGUGGGUUCUGCUGUCCUCCAGGGCCUCCGCCAUCGUGUGUGGGCUUUUCUGGACAAGUAGGGCAAGAGGAGGGUGGGCCGGGGGUGCUUCUCAGGGGAGACAGGCUCCAGGCCUGGGCUCUGAGGUCGCUGUCUGGGGUUUUUGGUCUGGCUUAGGGUUGGGGAUAAGCCUCUGGCUACCAGGGCUCCUGGGUGGGGUCUUGUUUGGGGGUUGGUAUUUGGGGUGAAGGUUCAGGAAGCUGCCGUCUAUGCAAUAAUAAACUUGCAUCUGCUCACAGGCUCUGCCUGGGCUGUGGGGUCUGCUUGUGGCCUCAGGAUGGGGGACUGGUCUGAGGAGGAGGAGGGAAGCUGAGGACCCUGGGUCAUGCUGGGUCAGGCCCUGCCUCUCUUACAGUUUCCAUAAUACCUCCUGUGUGUGCACUUGCUCAGUCGUGUCUGACUCUCUGCAACCCCAUGGACUGUAGCCCACCAACCUCCUCUGUCCAUGGGGUCAGCUCGGCAGGAAUACUGGAGUGGUUUGCCAUUUCCUCCUCCAGGGGAUCUUCGCAACCCAGGGAUCGAACCCAUGUCUCCUGCAGCUCCUGCAUUAGCAGGCAGAUUCUUUACCAUUGCACCACCUGGGAAUACCUCCUGAGGGGUGGCUGAAAGGCUUCAGUCCUGACAGGGCCACAGACCUUCUAGGGAAGACCUUGGGUUUGUAAAGCCAACUUCUAAAAGAUUCCCUGAGCAGCAUAUAGCAAAAGAAAGAGCCUGCCUUUUGGAAAAAAAUCUUUGGCCACCCACCCCGCAGGAUCUUAGUUCCCCAGUCAGGGAUGGAACCUGUGCCCCCUGCUUUGAAAGUCUUAACCACUGGACCUCCAGGGAAGUCCCAAAAGAGCCAGCCUUUUGAGAUUGGCUUCCCUGGGCUCUAGUCCUGCUUAGGAUACUUACUUCACUUCUCCGAGCCUCAAUUUCUCAUCUAUAAAACAGAGAAAAUACUACUACCUCCUGGGGUUGUAGUGAGGAUAACUUUAAACAUUAAAGCUCAUAUAAAGCCCAGUAAUUGAGAGCAGUAAGUGCAGACUUCCCAUUUUGGGGUCAUUAUUGCUGUUGACCUGAAGUACAGUCAUUAGCCCUCUCACAAGCUUCUUGCAUUUUAAUUGAAACCCCAGAAACCUCGAGUGGGUGGAGGUGAUUCGGGCUCCUGUCAGAAAGUCACAGAGCGUCUCAGUCAAAGGAAGGACCUAUAGGCCAUCAUCAUAGCUUCCAGAGGCUUAGAUGGGAGGAGAGACUUGCCCAAGUUCACACAACAAGCCAGGGGUGGGAAAGCAAUUAUCUUGACUUAUUUUAGUGGCUAAGUCAAGCCAACAGCCCCCAUGAGCAUUGGAGGGGAGGGUCCCUCACCAGUAGGCUUGAGUUCAGGCAGGUUCCAGAGUUCUUUGGUGCUCA
rnacentral:lncRNA from 1 species